rnacentral:rRNA from 1 species
GACGAACGCUGGCGGCGUGCUUAACACAUGCAAGUCGAACGAUGAAGCCGGAGCUUGCUCUGGUGAAUUAGUGGCGAACGGGUGAGUAACACGUGAGUAACCUGCCCUUGACUCUGGGAUAACUGCUAGAAAUGGUAGCUAAUACCGGAUACGACCCUCGGAGGCAUCUUCAGGGGGUGGAAAGAAUUUCGGUCAAGGAUGGACUCGCGGCCUAUCAGCUAGUUGGUGAGGUAAUGGCUCACCAAGGCGACGACGGGUAGCCGGCCUGAGAGGGUGACCGGCCACACUGGGACUGAGACACGGCUCAGACUCCUACGGGAGGCAGCAGUGGGGAAUAUUGCACAAUGGGCGCAAGCCUGAUGCAGCAACGCCGCGUGAGGGAUGACGGCCUUCGGGUUGUAAACCUCUUUUAGUAGGGAAGAAGCGAAAGUGACGGUACCUGCAGAAAAAGCACCGGCUAACUACGUGCCAGCAGCCGCCGCAG